GCACGGGUGGCGGAAUGGCAGACGCAAUGGGUUUAGGUUCCAUCGCCGAGAGGCGUGCGGGUUCAAGUCCCGCCCCGUGCACCA
rnacentral:tRNA from 1 species